CAUAAACAGUUUGUUUAUUUAUUAAUUUGAUCUAAGAAUAGACAAAUAUGCAAAGAGUAAUGUAAAUGAUUGGCUCUUAUUGGUGUCUUUUCCUUAGAUCUUAAACUGAUUCGUCAUUCUAGUCAUGUAUUGGAUUUGGACCUGUAGGUGUUUCUCGAUAUAUUUUAAAAGCGUUCGCUCCCAUAUGACCCUUUAUUUUCUGAUGUAUUGGGUCUGCACCUCCCGAAGAUUCUCGAUAGAUUCCAUAAGCUUCACUUUUCAUUGGAUCCUCAAUUCCAUGGUGUAUUGGGUCAGGACCUGCAGGUGAUUCUCGAAGAUUUCGAUGAGCUUGUGAAUAGGAACACACAAUGAGUGUUAGGAGGAUAAUAAGCAAUGGUUUUGCAACUUGCCCCAUGGUAUUAUUGAAGAUUAGCUAAAUUUGGGUUUGAGUGGAAUGGUAACAAGUUUCUCUAUUUAUAAGGCAAAUUUAAAUGAUACUAAAGGGAUUUUUAUUGAGAAUAUAAGUUUAGAUUUUUAGAUUUGAUAAUUAGAUGAGAAACAUUAAGAAUUAGAUCUAAGUAUUCAAGUAGAGGAUAUCUUUGUUCUUCUACUAUUUUCUUGUACUUAAAUUUUAAAUCCCAAAGAAUCGUAAGUAAUCCAUUUGGAUUUGAACUUCUAUAUAGUGUAUUGUUCCGACAUAUGAGAGAUAAUUUGGGAGAAAAUCAAAAUCUAAGUGAUACUUUUCAAUUAAUACCAUAUGAUAUGAUAAGAAAAUAAUUUUAGGGAAGAUAUUUGCAGGGAAUUUUUUUCCUUUUUUUGCUGCAAUCAUGAUAUGUCGCUUAAUUAUAUAACAAUUGAAGAUAAGAAUAAAAAUGUGAUUUUUGCAAUAAAAAAAUAUAAAAUUCCAUUUUUCACCAUAAGUUUUAAACUAAACAAUUAUUUUACCUCUCACACUAGGACAAAAUACAAUUAGGAAAGUCCGCUUUGGUAAGACAUCCUUUUUUUUUUUUUUCAUUUUUUCCUCCUUGAAUACUAAUUACUUGAUAAUCAUGAUGAGUUAUUUCUAUAAAUUUCAAUAUCUAUAAGAAAGUCAAAGGAAAAAUACUAUAUUUUACUAAUUGAUAUCUCGUAAUUUGAAUCAUGGUGAAUUUCGUUUAAAUGUUUGUUAAAAUUAGGUCAUGUUUGGUUGAUAAAAUAAAGUAAUAGAAAUGUGUUAGUUUUUCGUAAGGUAAAUCUAAAGGACUCAUUUCCUUCUACCUUUUGGUGAUUCAUUUGUAUGGGAAUGGAAGUCACACAUGUUGAAAUUUGAAAGAUGAAUUUUUCAAUCCAUCAAUACUAUAUGCAUCAAAUAUUAAAAUUAAUGUCUUAUAUUACAAUCCAAAUACCAUAUUAAUUAAAUGAUAUCAGUUAUUAUAUGUAUCUUUAAAAAAUAAUGGAUAAUUUUAAAACCCUCUAAUGUUGCAUUAAUGGCACCCUUAAAUAUCUAAUAAAAUUGUAAAUCGAAAAAACAAUUAAAUCAUUUAUAUUAUAAAUGAACAAAGAAGUGAUAUAGAAAUUAUGAUUAUCACACAAAAAAAGCAUGCUCAUUUGAAGUCGUGGCGUUAGGGUUUGCUUUUUCUUUUUUGCACAAGUAUUGAUUAGACUUGUGAAAUGAUUUUAUUUUUUUGUAAUUCCGUGUUUCCAAAUGGUAAUCAACAUCAAUGUUGGAUUUUCCUAUUAUUUAUUUCUAAAGAAAAAAAAACUAUUUUAUUUUGAAAAGACACACAAUUAUGGCAUAGUGUUCAAUUGCCUCAUCCGGGAUUGGUCAUGUUUGAUUAAGAUAUUGAAUAUACUUCCUGAAAAUUUAGUAGAUGUACUUAGAAAUGAACUUAGUUUAAUUGGAAGCAAACUUGUCUGAUAAGAAGUAGAAUUCAUUACUGAAAUAGUAAUGAUCAAGACCUGGAUGAAAAGAAAGAAAAUAGAUCUUGCAAUGGACUAAACAUUAUUUUAAUAUAUAUAGAGUCUUGCGUAGGUUUAAAUAUAAACUUGAAUAGGAUUAAUUCUUAGUAUAGCUCAAUUCCACAUAUAGAAUUCAAGUUCCAUACUAAAUUUAUAGCUUUGAUGAUUCUUAACCCAGUCAAAUAUCUACACAUAAUAGAUCAAAAUGAAUCACCUCACCAUAAGGAAAACAUUCAAAGUGAUUUUAAAGAAUGAAUUAUGUCAGAUGCAAGAGAGAUAUGAAGAGAUCUUUGAAUGGAGAGCCUUCCACCACUAUCAUCGACUAAUUUAUUUUAAUAAAAACAUCAUUUGUGUAUAUUUUACUUAGAAUUUAUAUUUUUCCUUCUAAAUUGAUAGCCCAUAUAAUCAAGAACGCAUAUUUGCCACACAUAUCACUCUAAUGGCUACUCUAAAUAAGAUUUCUAGAGAAUCACAUAAACAGUUUGUUUAUUUAUUUAUUUGAUCUAAGAAUAGACAAAUAUGCAAAGAGUAAUGUAAAUGAUUGGCUCUUAUUGGUGUCUUUUCCUUAGAUCUUAAACUGAUUCGUCAUUCUAGUCAUGUAUUGGAUUUGGACUUGUAGGUGUUUCUCGAUAUAUUUUAAAAGCGUUCGCUCCCAUAUAACCCUUUAUUUUCUGAUGUAUUGGGUCUGCACCUCCCGAAGAUUCUCGAUAGAUUCCAUAAGCUUCACUUUUCAUUGGAUCCUCAAUUCCAUGGUGUAUUGGGUCAGGACCUGCAGGUGAUUCUCGAAGAUUUCGAUGAGCUUGUGAAUAGGAACACACAAUGAGUGUUAGGAGGAUAAUAAGCAAUGGUUUUGGAACUUGCCCCAUGGUAUUAUUGAAGAUUAGCUAAAUUUGGAUUUGAG
rnacentral:lncRNA from 1 species